GCCUGGGUGGCUCAGUCAGUUAAGUGUCUGAAUUCUGCUCAGAUCAUGACCUUGUGGUUUGUGGGUUCAAGCCCCACAUCAGGCU
rnacentral:tRNA from 1 species